GGGAUAGGGAAGUUUGAGGCUCCCUGCUGGAGCUGUUGCCCCCAUGACCCGACUUCGGAUAAGCGUUGAAGAUGGAUGGAUGGAUGGAUGAUGUCUAAACAUAAAAAGACAUGUGUACAACUCUCUCGCACAUUGGACAAGCUGCUGUGCGCUCUGGGCUUUGGGUGUACCCUGGAUGUGGAAAACGCUGCUGAGAACCAUGGGAAUGAAGACUCGCUGCAGAAACAAGGGGAUUCCACUGUAGUUCACAUGUCGACCUUGGCAGAUGCUGGCGUAGUCCCCUGGCGCACACCCCAGUUUAUAUGGUAUGGGACAAAAGAUCUGCACAGAGGCUCUACAACAUUCAUACACAGAUCUUCAAGAAAUCUUCAAGACUGAUCUCU